GAUGAACGCUAGCUACAGGCUUAACACAUGCAAGUCGAGGGGAAACGAUAGAGAAAGCUUGCUUUUUCUAGGCGUCGACCGGCGCACGGGUGAGUAACGCGUAUCCAACCUGCCCAUCACUUGGGGAUAACCUUGCGAAAGUAAGACUAAUACCCAAUGAUAUCUCUAGAAGACAUCUGAAGGAGAUUAAAGAUUUAUCGGUGAUGGAUGGGGAUGCGUCUGAUUAGCUUGUUGGCGGGGUAACGGCCCACCAAGGCGACGAUCAGUAGGGGUUCUGGGAGGACGGUCCCCCAAAUUGAGACGGAGACACGGACCAAACUCCUACGGGAGGCAGCAGUGAUGAAUAUUGGUCAAUGGGCGAGAGCCUGAACCAACCAAGUAGCGUGCAAGAUGACGGCCCUAUGGGUUGUAAACUGCUUUUAUAAGGGGAUAAAGUGAGUCUCGUGAGAAUUUUUGCAUGUACCUUAUGAAUAAGGACCGGCUAAUUCCGUGCCAGCAGCCGCGGUAA
rnacentral:rRNA from 1 species